rnacentral:rRNA from 1 species
CCGAGAGAAAAACAAAAAAUGUAGUAGUCGGAGCAUCUUCAGAGAGACAUACGUUUCACAUCAAGCAAGAGUCCGAGAGUAGUCAAAAACGGUGACGUUCGUGGUACUAAAAUAGAAGAAAAGCCACGUCGUUCAAAGAAAGAAUACUGGUUAGGUUCCCAGACGAAAAGCGGAAAAGACAAACAUUUAGAAGAUGGGACCAACUUAAGAGAGGCAUAGGUUCGUGUGAGGAGACUGUGAGUCAACGGUGACGCUCGUGCUUAACAUAGAACAUAGGACACAUACUAGACACGAGAUGGAACCUCAACGUGUAAAGACUCGGGAAGCUCCUGAGUGUCAAGAGUGUACCCCCAAAACACCGAACGAGAGGGACAUGUAUUUUAGACUAAAUCCUCGAGACGUUUAGAGUGAUGUUCCUUUACCUAGUAUUAAGUGUUGUUGUUGUACUUCACUUCAGAGUGUUUAAGUAGUACACUGUAAAACUUCAACACAACUUAGAGCAUUUUUUUAAGAGUUCAAAAGAGUUAUAUCCUUACCAAUACCCUUGGUGGUCGACGACUACUAAAUAUUCGACGUUUCGACAAAUGCACGUUUGAUUGAAGUGAAUGAUUGUCUAGUUAGAGCCAUUUUCCACGCCAGGACGACCUAGUCCGUCUGGACCAAGAGGACUAUUCGUUCAACAGUACCGUACUAAUUCAAGUCAGGUCGACUUCUUUACGAUAGCACCUCUAGAGUUAGACAUAGAAGGUAAGGCAGGUAUUAGACCUGAGAGACAGAACUCUCAUCAUGUAAAAAGAUGGGAUCAUCCUAAGUCAGGUGGGUACGUACUACGUAUCAAGAGUGUACAGCCAGAACACAAUAGGAGAAGUCCACAAGAAUAGAAGCGAGACGAUACGAAGUUUUAUCAAGUAAAUUUCGAAGCACCAGUGAGUACUUCUGUACCACCACAUGAACGAUCAAGUCUUGAUUUACACGAUAGUAUCUACCAAAAGUUCAAAUGAUUCGAAGGUGUUGGAAAAGUAUCUCAAUUGUAAAAGUCCAAACGUAAAGUAGUACUGUUCUACAAGAGGUUCGGUUAGUAGGAAAAUAGAGUACAACGAUCGGAGUAGCCAUGAACCGUAACGUAAAGGAUGUAACCCUAUAUCGUAUGAGGCGGUCAUGUAGGGUUGGGGAACACCUCAAAGAGUGAUUCUUUUCUCACUCUAUACACUAAAUUCCUUGGUUCCAACUAUCUUGUCAACUUAGUUGGUACUCUCUUUUUUUAUUUUUUUUAUUUUCCGGUUUUCCGUUUUUAUCGUUUUUUUUACUUUUUCUCUCUCUCUUUGAGGGCAAUUCGGUGAAGUCAAAAGGUUACUCAGGUGAUAUAGACGGAUAGUAUCGUAGAGGAGUAAACGAUAAGGUUCAUCACCUAAGGAAACGGUACGUGUAAAUAUAAAACGAAACAUGUAGAAAUUUCCUCCGUAUAAUCAGUAGUACAAAUCAUGAACAACUUGAAGUGGUUGGUAAAAUACAGAGUGAAAAUAAAAAGUAUAUAUUCUCGAAAACAGCCGUGGAGAGUUAGAAAACAUCCCUUUUUUUUCUUUCUUUUAUUUUUUCUUUCUUUUUCCUUUUCCUUUUCCUUUUUUCUUACUUUUUUCUCUAUUUUGUUUUCUUCAUUUCAUCUUAUUCUCUCCACGGUACAAAAGAGAGGUGGUUUGAGAAUCAGAAGUAAAUACCGCUCUACUCAGAAUAAUGAAUCCGAAUAGUAUAUAGUGAAAAGAAUGGUGGGUAAUAAGUAGUACAUCUCAAACCGUGAGUAUCGAUUAAAACAGGUAGAAUCACCCUACCGAAUAACGUAUACGAAUGAUCCUGAAGUAUAGUGAAGUAUAGGUAACACGUAUGGAACCGUUUAGGGAUGAAGGGUACGUUGCAGCUUUGGCUCCUGUAGUGUGUACGGAACCCCAGUGAGACGUAAUGUACCCGGAUAGAAAAGGAACAACUCAGUGAGGGUAGGAAAGUGUAGUAAAAGAUUACUAACCUUUGUGCUCCGUAGAACCAAGUACCACUGACGAACGAACUGAUACACUAGGCACGAAGGGUUCCGUACUUAACCCUCGAGUUACACCCAACUUAGGAACCUUACUAGAACGUUCUUUCUGAAAAAAAAUAUAGUUAGAACGUUCUUUCUGAAACAUAGUACUUCGUAGGGACAAUCAUGAUCUCGAUGCCAAAACUUCCCUGUGAGUCCUCAGUUGAAAGAGUUCUAGGUGCUACGACUAGUGAACUGGUAAGGGGGGACGGCGUACUCGACACUCCUCCCGUUCUGUAGUUCCGGUUACCACGGCGAACUGCUGCUUUAGAUGAGAGGUUCUGAGAGGAACCGGAGGGGGGCAUGGAUAGCAGACGUUCACAACCGCAACGUAGUAUAGAUUGUAGAUGAAAAAAACGGCGAAAGCUCGUGUGGUGGCGGUGUUUGGACGGGAGGAAUCAACGAAGCAGUCUCUGGAUACUCCGAAGAGGAUAUGUGGAUAGUACCUCCGGGGUCUCGUACAGGGACGGCCCGCCCCGAGUACCGGGGACCUAGGGGCUGUGUCAGCUGUGACUAGUGAACCAACCAAGGUCACCUGUUGGUUUUCCAAGGGACCUUUACGGUUCCUCUAAGUGAGUUACUUGGUGAACGUCUUCUUGGUAAUUUCAAAAUGCGACACCACACUGUUGCGUAGGACUUAACGUGGAGCGAUCAUCGGACUCAACGAUAAAGCACCUCGCAGACUUCGAACUUCAAAAGGAACACAAAUAAAUUAAUAAUACUAGACCUUUUGCUUAAGGAAAGUCACAGACCGAAUCAAAUGAAAUACAGUGUUCAAGACGAAAACAUCGUUUCUAACUGUUUAAGAAACAUAUUGUUAACUUGAUUUAAAGUAACAACGGAGAUACUCCGGUAGUAUAAAGUUUACUAAACCACUCCAUCUACCAAGUCGUAAACGGAGAUAACACUCUUCUACCUUG